rnacentral:rRNA from 1 species
UACGUAGGGGGCAAGCGUUGUCCGGAAUUAUUGGGCGUAAAGCGCGUGUAGGCGGCCAGAAAAGUCCGCUGUGAAAACUCGAGGCUCAACUUCGAGCUGUCGGUGGAAACUUUCUGGCUAGAGUCCGGAAGAGGAGAAUGGAAUUCCUGGUGUAGCGGUGAAAUGCGCAGAUAUCAGGAAGAACACCAAUGGCGAAGGCAGCUCCCUGGGACGGUACUGACGCUGAGACGCGAAAGCGUGGGGAGCGAACAGG